GGCGAACGCUGGCGGCGUGCUUAACACAUGCAAGUCGAACGGAAAGGCCCUGCUUUUGUGGGGUGCUCGAGUGGCGAACGGGUGAGUAACACGUGAGUAACCUGCCCUUGACUUUGGGAUAACUUCAGGAAACUGGGGCUAAUACCGGAUAGGAGCUCCUACUGCAUGGUGGGGGUUGGAAAGUUUCGGCGGUUGGGGAUGGACUCGCGGCUUAUCAGCUUGUUGGUGGGGUAGUGGCUUACCAACGCUGUGACGGGUAGCCGGCCUGGGAGGGGGACUGGCACCAUUGCGAUGGAGCUGCGGCCCGGACUCCUACGGGAGGGAGCGGUGGGGAAUAGUGUACAAUGGGCGGAAGGCUGAUGCAGCAACGCCGCGUGGGGGAUGACGGCCAUGGGGUUGUAUAGCGCUUUCGUCUGGGACGAAGCGUGAGUGACGGUAAUGGGUAAAGAAGUACCGGCUAACUACGUG
rnacentral:rRNA from 1 species